UUAGUCAUCAAAUAACCCAGUGCUGAAUCAAGCCAAUUGUUUGAUAGUUGUCGUAGGUCUAAAUGAGUGAGAGAAGUGGUUGUAGUGAACGCAAACGAAACAGAGAAGGAGUGUGGAGGGAGGCGCCUUUAUAUGUGCCAUAUAUUCAAAAGGAGCCAAGUGGAGAAUCAGGGUGAAGAAGUUGUGGAAGAUGACCAGCAAGCUAACCAGAGAGCGGAGGAGGGGCAGCAUAACCUGAGGCUAGCUGUAGCAGCAGCAGGAGCAUCAGCUUCACAGUGGAUUUAUCAACUGUCUGACCCUAUGGUCUGACCCGGUGUUGAGGAGGGCAAUCAACGAAGAUGCUCGCACAAAUCGUGGACCUGCUGCCUUUCAUAACGGAAGGAUAUCCAGCCUCAGCCCGUGAUUGGGGUUUUGGUGGUAAGGCUGUGAAGUUCCCGGCUGGGGAUUGGCUGGUUCCGAGGAAGUUCUGGCUGAUCCUGCUUCCCACAUCAGAGGUCCCCGAUUGGAGUGGCGCAACAACUCUCCUCCAAUCCCUGAGCUGACUGCAAGACCACCUUCAAGCUCCUCUGGUUCAAACAGGCUGGUCUGCUGCUGUGUGGAGGCAGCUACCAUUCCCCAUGUAGUUUUCCUCUGUGCUGGACAUUGUAUUGAACCCUGUGUGUGCGUGUCCUUAGUGGCAACCAUUUUCUUGUUAGUUGUGUUACUGAGAGUCGGUAACACAUCCUGUUUUGAACUAAGUGAUUUGUGUUUGGUCUGCAGAAUUGGGCCAGGGAACAGCUUAUUACUGAUACUGCUUACACCUGUUAGACAUUUAUUGUAUUAGGCCCACCAGGUUUAGGGGUGCUGCGCUCCCUGUGUUUCUAUUUAAAAUGACGGUUAGAGAGGUUUUCGGUUCUCCUUUGUCUUUGUAGUUAUUAAUCCCUUGUUUAGGAGGGAUCUCUUUUGGUUAUAUUUUGUUCUUUGGUUUACGCAGCACCCAAUUUCUGUUUUGACUUUUGUUCGUAACCUCUGUUUAAUAAAUAACAUUUCCACUUUUACCAAGAA